GACGAACCGUGCGACCGUUGUUCGGAAUCACUGGGCUUAAAGGGCGCGUAGGCGGGCUGUCAAGUCUGGGGUGAAAUGCCGCGGCUCAACCGUGGAACUGCCUUAGAUACUGACGGCCUCGAGGAAGGUAGGGGCAUGCGGAACUGUAGGUGGAGCGGUGAAAUGCGUUGAUAUCUGGAGGAACACCGGUGGCGAAGGCGGCAUCCUGGACCGACACUGACGCUGAGGAGCGAAAGCCAGGGGAGCAAACGGG
rnacentral:rRNA from 1 species